rnacentral:rRNA from 1 species
CACGGAGUUAGCCGGUGCUUCCUCACCCGGCACCGUCAGCCUGGCCAAAACCAGGUGUUCGUCCCGGGCAACAGUGGUUUACACGCCGAAAGGCGUCCUCCCACACGCGGCGUCGCUGCGUCAGCCUUGCGGCCAUUGCGCAAUAUUCCCCA